UCAGCCUCCCAAAGUGCUGGGAUUACAUGUGUGAGCCACCAUGCCCAGCCAGCGGGGUGUCUUUUUAAGCUGAAAAGCUUGUAGUAAUUUGCUUUGCAGCAGUAGGAAACCAACACGGGAUGUUUACUGCUCUCGCAUAGGACCGGCAGUCCAGUAUUGUGGUUGAGGGCUCUUGUGUCAGACUGCCUGGGUUCAAAUCCACCUCUGGGGCCACAGGGCAGAGUAUGCAGAGGUGGCAGUAGAGGGAUUGAUGGAAUCCCGAGCUCCCUGAAUGCCAGAUCCAAAUAGGACCUGAAGGCAGGGGAUGACUCCUGAGCCCUCCAGCCGCGCAGGCGAUCAAUCCCCUUCACGGGAGAGGUAGCUGGAGGUUUCUGACACACGCAGUGCAAGAUCCUAACACACACGGUAUCCAAAUAUACUUAGCUUCGGUACUGGGCCGAAUAGUGUCCUCCCAAAAUUCAUGUCUGCCUAGAACCUCAGAAUGUGGCCUUAGUUGGAAAUAGGAUUUUCACCCAUGUAAUUAGUUAAGAUGAAGUCAUCCUGGAUGAGGGUGGGCCCUACAUCCAAUGUGGCUGGUGUCCUUACAAGAGGAGAAGACACAAGACCGUGGAGGCUACGUGAAGAUGGAGGCACAGAUGGCGUGAUGCCGCUUUGAGCCAGUGCACACCAGGCAUCGUCCACAGCCCUCAGAAGCUGGGAGAAAGGGUGGAACAGAUUCUCCCCAGAGCCUCCAGAAAGAACCGACCCUGCUGACACCUUAGUUUUAGGCCUCUGGCCUCCUAAACUGACAGAACUUUCUCUUGUUUCAAGCUGCCCAGUUUGUGAUCAUUUGUUACAGCAGACCUCAGAAAUUAACACAGCUUCCAAAAGGACCUUUCAUUUUUUUUAUCAGCCUUAAUUUAGUAUCAUGAUGGUCUGUGUAAUUGUGGAAGUUCACCAAUUGUUUCAUGUCAUCUAAGUAUUUUUCACUCUCUUCCUUCUGUGUUCCAAGAGAGAAGCUUGUUUGGCUGGUGCUGGACUUGGGCUGAGAGCUCUGCUUCUCUGAGGGCCGUCCUGACCAGGGCAAACAGGGUGGCAUUGAACAUGACUGUCCCGUCGCUGUUCAGAGGCAUGUUCAUGGAGACCAGGCGC